ACUCAUUUGUUUUCAGCAUGAGACCAACAGGACAACCUCCUGCAGACAAAGGCAAAGGUGUAGCUUCGUCCUCAGAGGCUUACAAACAGAUUAUGUUAGGUAACUUAAAUUUUAGACCAUUAGAAUCUCUCGAGACAAUGGAACGAAUUCAUUUCGGCCCAUUUAAUUUAAUCGCAUACCCCGAGAGCAAUAUAUCUUUUAGAAUAAGACCAGACUACGUUUUAGACAGACCUCAAAGAUGUUUAAUAGAUAACCUCUGGAUUUCUUACAAUAGACAAAACGAACAUAUCAAAGGAAAAGAGAACGAAUUAGCUGACCAGUUAAGUAGACUACAACUAGGAAUAAAUAAAUAAGUUUUUAAUCCUACUCAUUUGUUUUCAGCAUGAGGCCAACAAGACAACCUCCUGCAGACAAAGGCAAAGGUGUAGCUUCCUCUUCAGAGGCUUACCAACAGACAAUGUUAGGUAACUUAAAUUUUAGACCACUAGAAUCCCUCGAGACAAUGGAAAGAAUUCAUUUUGGACCAUUUAAUUUAAUUGCAUACCCUGAGAGCAAUAUAUCUUUUAGAGUAAGACCAGACUACGUUUUAGACAGACCCCAAAGGUGUNNNNN
rnacentral:lncRNA from 1 species